rnacentral:rRNA from 1 species
GUGACGAGAAUAGCGAUGCCGCGAUCAUUUGAUUCGGCAGUUGAAAUGAGAACAAUGAAAGAAUUUUAUCGAGAAUCUAUUGGAGGGCAAGUUCUGGUGCCAGCAGCCGCGGUAAUUCCAGCUCGAAAAGCGUAUGUUAAAGUUGCUGCGGUUAAAACGCUCGUCGUUGGACAUCAGGAGAUGGAUCGUGGACAACCUAGAGUUGCUACUACGGUUUCACUCCUUUUUUAUGCCAGUUCAUCGAUGAUGUACUUGAAUGGUGUGUCACGGUAGAAGGUCAAUGUCACUUUGAGAAAAUUAGUGUGCUCAACGCAGGCUUUACGCUUGUAUAAUGCUGCAUGGGAUGACGGAAUAGGGCCUCGGUUCCGUUUCGUUGGUUUACGAAAGCAGAGGUCAUGAUUAAUCGGGACAGACGGGGGCAUUCGUAUUGCGAUGCUAGAAGUGAAAUUCUGUGACCAUCGCAAGACGGACAACUGCGAAAGCAUUUGCCAAGAAUGUUUUCAUUAAUCAAGAACGAAAGUUAGAGGAUCGAAGACGAUUAGAUACCGUCCUAGUUCUAACUGUAAACUAUGCCGACCGGGGAUUCGCCAAUGCAAUAUUGCUUGGCGAGCACCCUCCGGGAAACCAAAGUGAUUGGGUUCCGGGGGGAGUAUGGUUGCAAAAUCGAAACUUAAAGGAAUUGACGGAGGGGCACACCAGAAGUGGAGCCUGCGGCUCAAUUUGACUCAACGCACGAAAGCUUACUCGGUCCGAACACCGUGAGGAUUGACAGGUGAAAGC